UAUAUAUAUAAUGGUCUCAGAAUUAGAGACAGUCUGCACAGAACACAGUGGCGUAGCCAGAGGGGUGCAGAGGGUGCUCCAGCACCCCCCUCUAGCCUCAGACUCUGCUCCACAAGUUCCUUAGCUAAGCUACAUGUAGCUAGCUAGCUGAUAUGAGAAAACUAGAGCUCUAUGUUGCGAUCAACUCAAAACUCCACCUCCAACUAGCUAGCUCCACCUCCAAAUUUCAUUCCAGCCAGUGCACAUGCGCAAAGCCACGUGGGCUGAGCAGACCAAGGUCCCCCACAGAGUUGCAGACUAUUCAGCAGCUAUCACCAUCAUCAUCAUGUCACUCUUUCAGUUGAGCCCAGUUCACAGAGCAGCACUGCAAAACUGCAAGUGGCUUGCCACCCUGUCCUGCUAAUUCACAAGCAGAACCUGGUUAGCAGCUGCAUGAUUUAAUUGUCACAACUCAAAACAAUGCAUUUUUAUAGGACAUAAUUCAGAUGAAGAUGUGGCUUAACCACCAGUACCCUCAAAGCAGCAGUACCCUCAUUUCUUUAGCCAGAUUGCGUUAGAAUCAAUCUCAGAGCAUGUAACAACAAAAAUUUUCUGGGGGAGUGCCCCCAGACCCCCCGUUGGGGCGUAUUUUGCACCGCCGGAGCGCACUGGUAAUUCAGACAAUCCAUUCAUCCAGCACCCCCCUCUCUCAAAUCUUGGCUACGCCCCUGGAACACUGUUCUCAGACCGCCCGUCUCUUGAAUAUCAACACUGACCACAUACCACCCUAAUUUACCUACCCACCAACACACAUACCUUGCUUGACUGCCUCAGGGCGUGGGUUACAAUUUCCCUCGGUUCCUUCAGUCUUUUUCCUACUUCAUUCUCCUCCUGCGUGGGAACAAGUAUUGAUCUUACAGCCCUAUCCUUGGAGUAACCACAUGCGGUACCGGGCGCAUAUCUUCGUAGGUGUGGUAUAUUAUCAAAGUGCUUAGUAAUACCAUAGAUUGAAAAGGAAGGGGAUUGGAAACGACCAGGCCACCCUGUGUCAACGGGUGAAACACUCCGCGUUAUGAUUUCGCACUCGCGAAUAUUUUAGUUUUUAACGUACUCAGGUUGUAUUUCAACUGUUUCUAGCUCUCCUAUCCACUAUUGAUCGCUCAGAAGCUGGGAGGUACUCUAGAGAAGUAAGUUGACAAGCUCUAAGUCCCUUGUCUUUACUCUGUUUUUACGUUUAGCUUGAAAUACUCCAUGUCAACUUUUCUCUUUCCCUGCUGUGAAGCCGAAACAGCAAAGGACAUUGCUUGACUUGGUUAUUAUGUAUCUAAGUGCUAUAUAGGAUGGUUUCAUGCUAUGGAUAAGCUGUACUGUUCACAAACGUUUGCAGUAUAGUCCUUCAAACUGCUUUAGUAUACUUUUAGAGACACCACGGGCCUUGACCUCCCACGACUUCAUAGUAGAUCUAAGAGCUAUUCCUUCUUGUAUAGCAUUUAUUUGUUUAGUGAUAGUGGCUGCAUUGCUUAGUCUACCUUUUAGAGCUAGAUUCUCUAACUUUUUAGAAUAAUCAACAUCAAUUUCACCAUUUCUAUGUACAACACAUUGUAUGGCAGCAAGACAGGUAAUGAGCAUGCUGACAUAAAUAUAAUCCUUUGAAGUUUUAGCCACACCCUAUAACGCGGAGUGUUUUCACGCAAACAUUUCGUUUCCAAUCCCCUUCCUUUUCAAUCUAUGGUAAUACGUGUGCUUCUGAGUCCUGACAUAAUUUUACCUGUCAAUAAGGAAAACACCACAUCUUUAGGUCACCAAUUUGUGGACAAUAAUAUUGUAGUUUUCUGGAGUUACAAAAAAAACCUUUUUAGCUAUAAAAUAUAGAUUCAUACCUUCGGUUCACAAUACCGUACAGCGGGAAAUGUUCGCUAUUUGGCUCCAAAGCCCUCAGCAUAAAUUUUCGUGGGUUCUAAUAUUCGUGUUUCAAUGCCAGGAAACCACACCCACCAGUGUGUGAAAUACCGGUGCGUAGGAGUUUAUUCCAGUUUUAAUUUUCGCGUCUUCUGUCUCCCUCCAAAAAACGCGUGAAAAUUUCCCGCUGUACGGUAAGUCUACAACAAUCUGAAGAACUGUCGAAGAACCUAUAUCAUGCUUCAGGCAAUGGCCGCGAACCACAUCAACCCGGUACUAAUCACUAUACGAAAAAGCUUUGAGCAGGCAUGCAUGCAACUGGAUGCCAGCUGACUUAUAUAUAUAUACCUUAAGGUGACAUAUUUUCACAGGUAGAUUUGUUUGCGUUUUUACAGUUUUGUACAUUUUGCGGUAUAAUAUUUUGCGAAAUGUCGAUCUGGAUACAUUAAACAAGAGGGCGGCCAAUUAUUUGCGAGUAUUAAUUUUUGUGAUUUUACUCUCAUUCGCAGAAAUAGCAGAAAUUAAUACACGCGAAAAUAUGUAGGUAAACAUACACACAAGUUGAAUACUGGCAUCUUUUGCAUGGUUGGUCAUGAUCAAUUAAUUGGAGGUGAUCUGUAAACAUUAUAUGCAACAUCCACUAAUAUCUGUAAGAGGGUGACUAUUCAAUUUAAGUGCUAAGCGUUUAAUUUUCUUGCUGCCAGAGGUUCAUUGGCCUUGGAAAACAUGAAGAUUUGGCAAACUGAUGUUGUUGUUGAAGAAGGUAAAUAGUCUAGUCUAUAGUAUAAAAGUAAGUAGUAUAAUAUAGUAUACAGUAAUGUGACUUUAUCAACCUACGAGUGCUUUUUAACAUUAACAUUUCAUUUUACAUGGAUAAAGUAUAAACGAAGUGAAGUGUUGAAAGUCUGUAGGGCCAGGGAACACCUAGUGGGUUCGAGUAUCGUCCAAGCACCUCCUGAAGAACGGAAAUUGAUUGUACUACUAUUGUCGCUUUGAAGGACUACCGUCGCUUGUUGACAGUCUUCCUGGCAUCAACCUAUGUAUAUAGAAAAUAAUCAAUUUUGCCAACUUUCUACAAUGCACUGCUGUCUAUUUAUAUGCAAGAAAGCAAGGAAAACUCUUUGGAAGAGUUCACUGGAGUAAUGCUCACUGUAGCUAACCUGGAGCUGUAUAGACAUAGCCUUUUACUGUACCUACAGACCUACCUAAGCAUUAUUUAAAUGUCAGCCAUAAUCAUAAAUUUUUAUUUUUGUCUUUUUGAUUCUGGUAAAGAAGAAAACCCACCAGGAAUGUAUUCCCCUCCCUUCUGUGUAUUUUUUUAGUGUUCACGGUGUGUAUGAAUGGGUUCUGAGCGCUUUUGCGCAAGAGAAAAAAACAGCUCGUUACGAAUGAAAUUUUCGGGGUCAA